rnacentral:misc_RNA from 1 species
AGCAGCCGCGGUAAUUCCAGCUCCAAUAGCGUAUAUUAAAGUUGUUGCAGUUAAAAAGCUCGUAGUUGAAUUUCGGGAUCAAUACGUCGGUCGUGCUUCGGUACGUACUGGCGUAAUUGAUUUCUCCCUUCUGACGAACCAUGAUGUCAUUAACUUGGUGUCAUGGGAAAUCAGGACUGUUACUUUGAAAAAAUUAGAGUGUUUAAAGCAGGCUCACGCUUGAAUACAUUAGCAUGGAAUAAUGAAAUAGGACGUUCGAUCCUAUUUUGUUGGUUUUUAGGAUCAACGUAAUGAUUAAUAGGGAUAGUUGGGGGCAUUAGUAUUCAAUUGUCAGAGGUGAAAUUCUUGGAUUUAUUGAAGACUAACUACUGCGAAAGCAUUUGCCAAGGAUGUUUUCAUUAAUCAAGAACGAAAGUUAGGGGAUCGAAGACGAUCAGAUACCGUCGUAGUCUUAACCAUAAACUAUGCCGACUAGGGAUCGGAUGAUGUUAAUUUUUUAAUGACUCACUCGGCGCCUUAC